CUGGUAUCCAUAUAGAGAUGUCUGAUUAGAGCAUCGAGAUCAUCGGUGUGCUAGCACCUUGCAGAUCUCGCUCCUCAGCUUUAGAUCUGCAUCUCUUCUUCUAGAUCUCGAAGAAGAUGAUCGCUGCACGAACUCUUUCACACAGAUCUGACAGAAUCUGAAUCAGAUCACCAAGAAGGGAAGAAGAAUCUUUCUUCUUCUCUUGUUCUCUCUUAGAUCUGAUCACCAUCAGA
rnacentral:lncRNA from 1 species